rnacentral:tRNA from 1 species
AUCUGUAUAGUUUAACCAAAACGUUAAUCUUGUAAAUUAAAUAUAGAAUUAUAUCUUACAGGUA